rnacentral:tRNA from 1 species
GAGGGUAUAGCUCAGGUGGUAGAGCACAAGCUUAGCGUACAAAAGGUCCUGGGUUCAAUCCCCAGUACCUCCU